CCUACGGGCGGCAGCAGUGAGGAAUAUUGGUCAAUGGGCGAUAGCCUGAACCAGCCAAGUCGCGUGAAGGAUGACUGCCCUAUGGGUUGUAAACCUCUUUUGUCUGAGAACAAAACGCAGGACGUAUACCGGUCUGCGUGUACCCUAAGAAAAAGCAUCGGCUAACUCCGUGCCAGCAGCCGCGGUAAUACGGAGGAUGCGAGCGUUAUCCGGAUUUAUUGGGUUUAAAGGGUGCGUAGGCGGUCUGUUAAGUCAGCGGUAAAAUUUCGGGGCUCAACCCCGUCGAGACGUUGAAUCUGGCAGACUUGAGUGGGCGAGAGGUACGCGGAAUGCGUGGUGUAGCGGUGAAAUGCAUAGAUAUCGCGCAGAACUCCGAUUGCGAAGGCAGCGUGCCGGCGUCAAACUGACGCUGAGGCACGAAAGCGUGGGUAUCGAACAGGAUUAGAUACCCCUGUAGUC
rnacentral:rRNA from 1 species